rnacentral:rRNA from 1 species
AUUGAACGCUGGCGGCAUGCUUUACACAUGCAAGUCGAACGGUAACAGGCCGCAAGGUGCUGACGAGUGGCGAACGGGUGAGUAAUGCAUCGGAACGUGCCCAGUCGUGGGGGGUAACGCAGCGAAAGCUGCGCUAAUACCGCAUACGAUCUAUGGAUGAAAGCGGGGGACCGUAAGGCCUCGCGCGAUUGGAGCGGCCGAUGUCAGAUUAGGUAGUUGGUGGGGUAAAGGCUGACCAAGCCAAUGAUCUGUAGCUGGUCUGAGAGGACGGCCAGCCACGCUGGGACCGAGACACGGCCCAGGCUCCCACGGGAGGCAGCAGUGGGGAAUUUUGGACGAUGGGCGCAAGCCUGGUGCAGCAAUUCCGCGUGCAGGAAGAAGGCCUUCGGGUUGUAAACUGCUUUUGUCCGGAACGAAACGGUCCUGGUUACUACCUGGGGCUAAUGACGGUACCGUAAGAAUAAGCACCGGCUAACUACGUGCCAGCAGCCGCAGUAAAAC